rnacentral:rRNA from 1 species
AGAGUUUGAUCAUGGCUCAGGAUGAACGCUGGCGGUCUGCUUAACACAUGCAAGUCGAACGAAUCCCUUCGGGGAUUAGUGGCGGACGGGUGAGUAACGCGUGAGAAUCUGCCAAAAGGACUGGGACAACCACUGGAAACGGUGGCUAAUACCGGAUGAGCCGCAACGUAAAAGAGGAAACUCGCCUUUUGAGGAGCUCGCGUCUGAUUAGCUAGUUGGUAGGGUAAAAGCUUACCAAGGCAUCGAUCAGUAGCUGGUCUGAGAGGAUGACCAGCCACACUGGGACUGAGACACGGCCCAGACUCCUACGGGAGGCAGCAGUGGGGAAUUUUCCGCAAUGGGCGAAAGCCUGACGGAGCAAGACCGCGUGAGGGAAGAAGGCUCUUGGGUCGUAAACCUCUUUUGUCAGGGAAGAACACAAUGACGGUACCUGAAGAAUCAGCAUCGGCUAACUCCGUGCCAGCAGCCGCGGUAAUACGGAGGAUGCAAGCGUUAUCCGGAAUUACUGGGCGUAAAGAGUUGCGUAGGCGGCAUCGUAAGUAGGUAGUAAAAUCCUGGGGCUCAACCUCUUAACUAUUACCUAAACUGCGAAGCUAGAAUAUAGAAGAGGUAGCUGGAAUUCCUUGUGUAGGAGUGAAAUCCGUAGAUAUAAGGAGGAACACCGAUGGCGUAGGCAGGCUACUGGUCUAUUAUUGACGCUAAGGCACGAAAGCGUGGGUAGCAAACGGGAUUAGAUACCCCCGUAGUCC